rnacentral:tRNA from 1 species
GCGGUCGUGGCGGAACUGGUAGACGCGCAGCGUUGAGGUCGCUGUUCUUGAAAAAGGGUGGAAGUUCAAGUCUUCUCGACCGCACCA